AUUGAACGCUGGCGGCAGGCCUAACACAUGCAAGUCGAGCGGAUGAAGGGAGCUUGCUCCUGGAUUCAGCGGCGGACGGGUGAGUAAUGCCUAGGAAUCUGCCUGGUAGUGGGGGAUAACGUCCGGAAACGGGCGCUAAUACCGCAUACGUCCUGAGGGAGAAAGUGGGGGAUCUUCGGACCUCACGCUAUCAGAUGAGCCUAGGUCGGAUUAGCUAGUUGGUGGGGUAAAGGCCUACCAAGGCGACGAUCCGUAACUGGUCUGAGAGGAUGAUCAGUCACACUGGAACUGAGACGCGGUCCAGACUCCUACGGGAGGCAGCAGUGGGGAAUAUUGGACAAUGGGCGAAAGCCUGAUCCAGCCAUGCCGCGUGUGUGAAGAAGGUCUUCGGAUUGUAAAGCACUUUAAGUUGGGAGGAAGGGCAGUAAGUUAAUACCUUGCUGUUUUGACGAUACCAACAGAAUAAGCACCGGCUAACUUCGUG
rnacentral:rRNA from 1 species